rnacentral:rRNA from 1 species
AAUCAACGCUGGCGGCGUGCCUCAGACAUGCAAGUCGAACGCGAAAGUCCCCUUCGGGGGACAAGUAGAGUGGCGCACGGGUGAGUAACACGUAGGUAAUCUACCUUCGGAUGGGGAAUAACAACCGGAAACGGUUGCUAAUACCGCAUAAUGCAGCGGCACCUAAUGGUGACAGUUGUUAAAGCGGGGGAUCGAAAGACCUCGCGUCUGAAGAGGAGCCUGCGGCGGAUUAGCUAGNGGUAGGGUAAUGGCUUACCAAGGCGACGAUCCGUAGCCGGCCUGGA